UCCGCUCUGGGUUAGUCGGGUCCUAAGCUGAGGCCGACAGGCGUAGGCGAUGGAUAACAGGUUGAUAUUCCUGUACCACCUAGUAUCGUUUUAAUCGAUGGGGGGACGCAGUAGGAUAGGCGAAGCGUACGAUUGGAUUGUACGUCCAAGCAGUGAGAUUGAGUGUUAGGCAAAUCCGGCAUUCGUA
rnacentral:rRNA from 1 species